rnacentral:rRNA from 1 species
AGCAGUCGCCGCGGGAAUACGUAGGUGGCGAGCGUUGUCCGGAAUCAUUGGGCGUAAAGGGAGCGCAGGCGGGCAUGUAAGUCUUUCUUAAAAGUUCGGGGCUCAACCCCGUGAUGGGAAAGAAACUACAUGUCUUGAGUACAGGAGAGGAAAGCGAAAUUCCCAGUGUAGCGGUGAAAUGCGUAGAUAUUAGGAAGAACACCAGUGGCGAAGGCGACUUUCUGGACGAAAACUGACGCUGAGGCGCGAAAGCCAGGGGAGCGAACGGGAUUAGAUACCCCAGUAGUCCCUGUCUCUUAUACC